AGAGAAAAAAAUAAAUGCAAAAAAAAUGAAUGUUGCUCUGCUGAUGCAUAGCGUUUCAGUGUAUUAGCAUCUCCCCAUUCCGAAUUAUCCCUUUCAUAGUGUCUACAAUUAGAUGAAUGAACUUCAUUUUGGUUUU
rnacentral:sRNA from 12 species